rnacentral:rRNA from 1 species
UACCAGCACCCCGAGUGGUCGGGACGAUUAUUGGACCUAAAGCAUCCGUAGCCGGUCCUGCAAGUCUUCCGUUAAAUCCAGCUGCUCAACAGAUGGGCUGCGGGGAUACUACAGGCUAGGAGGCGGGAGAGGCAAGCGGUACUUUAUGGGUAGGGUAAAUCCGUUGAUCCAUAGAAGACCACCAGUGGCGAAGGCGGCUUGCCAGAACGCGCUCGACGGUGAGGAUGAAAGCUGGGGAGCAACGG